rnacentral:rRNA from 1 species
GAUGAACGCUGGCGGCGUGCCUAACACAUGCAAGUCGAGCGAAGCACUUACUUUAGAUUUCUUCGGAAUGACGAAGUUUGUGACUGAGCGGCGGACGGGUGAGUAACGCGUGGGCAACCUGCCCUGUACAGGGGGAUAACAGUUAGAAAUGACUGCUAAUACCGCAUAAGCCCACAGCUUCGCAUGAAGCAGUGGGAAAAACUCCGGUGGUACAGGAUGGGCCCGCGUCUGAUUAGCUAGUUGGUAAGGUAACGGCUUACCAAGGCGACGAUCAGUAGCCGACCUGAGAGGGUGACCGGCCACAUUGGGACUGAGACACGGCCCAAACUCCUACGGGAGGCAGCAGUGGGGAAUAUUGCACAAUGGGGGAAACCCUGAUGCAGCGACGCCGCGUGAGCGAUGAAGUAUUACGGUAUGUAAAGCUCUAUCAGCAGGGAAGAAAGUGACGGUACCUGACUAAGAAGCCCCGGCUAACUACGUG